rnacentral:rRNA from 1 species
GAUCCUGGCUCAGGAUGAACGCUGACAGAAUGCUUAACACAUGCAAGUCGACUCGAGUCUUCGGACUUGGGUGGCGCACGGGUGAGUAACGCGUAAAGAACUUGCCUCUUAGACCGGGACAACAUCUGGAAACGGAUGCUAAUACCGGAUAUUAUGGUUUUUACGCAUGGAGGAAUCAUGAAAGCUAGAUGCGCUAAGAGAGAGCUUUGCGUCCCAUUAGCUGGUUGGUGAGGUAACCGG